UUGAGCCGUAUGUGGUGAAAGUCACAUGUACGGUUUUUAGGGGGAGCGUGUAGACUAGUAACAGUUUUGUGGGCUGGCAACAGCCCCCGCUUACCCGAC
rnacentral:ncRNA from 1 species